rnacentral:rRNA from 1 species
UACGUAGGGUGCCAGCGUUAAUCGGAAUUACUGGGCGUAAAGCGUGCGCAGGCGGUUUUGUAAGCCAGAUGUGAAAUCCCCGGGCUUAACCUGGGAAUGGCAUUUGGGACUGCAAGGCUGGAGUGUGGCAGAGGAGACUGGAAUUCCUGGUGUAGCAGUGAAAUGCGUAGAUAUCAGGAGGAAUACCGAUGGCGAAGGCAGGUCUCUGGGCUGACACUGACGCUCAUGCACGAAAGCGUGGGGAGCAAACAGG